AUGGAUUUCCCAUCCUUCGAUGGAGAAAAUCCGCAGUUCUGGAAGACCAAAUGUGAAAAGUAUUUUGAUGUGUAUGGAGUGGCUCCGGAUCUCUGGGUUCGAGUAGCCACGCUGAAUUUCACAGGCACAACGGCCAGAUGGCUGCAACUUCAUGAGGCACAGAGUGCUUCGUUCACUUGGGCGUCACUCUGUGAGGUUUUGUGUCAUAAAUUUGGUAGGGAACAGUAUCAGUCCCACCUCCGUCAGUUUAACACCCUUCGUCAGUCAGGGACUGUGGCCGAUUACAUGACACGAUUUGAAGAAUUGAUGCAUCACAUAUUAGCUCACAACCCAGCGUUUGAUCCGGUGUAUUUUACUACCCAGUUUCUAGAUGGUCUUAAGGGAGAGAUUAGUGCUGUUGUUAUGCUUCAUCAACCAAAAGACUUGGACUCCACCUUUUCCUUGCUACAUUGCAGGAGGAGCUGA
rnacentral:rRNA from 1 species